rnacentral:rRNA from 1 species
GAUUAACGCUAGCGGCAGGCAUAAUACAUGCAAGUUGAACGGGAUAAGUUGUAGCAAUACGGCUUUGAGAGUAGCGCACGGGUGCGUAACACGUAUGCAACCUGCCCUUUACUGGGGAAUAGCCUCUCGAAAGAGAGAUUAAUACCCCAUAACAUAUUUUGUAGGCAUCUAUAGAAUAUUAAAGCUACGGCGGUAAAGGAUGGGCAUGCGGCUGAUUAGGUAGUUGGUGAGGUAAUGGCUCACCAAGCCAACGAUCAGUAGGGGGUCUGAGAGGAUGUCCCCCCACACUGGUACUGAGACACGGACCAGACUCCUACGGGAGGCAGCAGUAGGGAAUAUUGGACAAUGGGCGCAAGACCUGAUCCAGCCAUGCCGCGUGCAGGAAGAAGG